rnacentral:rRNA from 1 species
UACGUAGGUGGCGAGCGUUAUCCGGAAUUAUUGGGCGUAAAGAGCGCGCAGGUGGUUAAUUAAGUCUGAUGUGAAAGCCCACGGCUUAACCGUGGAGGGUCAUUGGAAACUGGUUGACUUGAGUGCAGAAGAGGGAAGUGGAAUUCCAUGUGUAGCGGUGAAAUGCGUAGAGAUAUGGAGGAACACCAGUGGCGAGGGCGGCUUCCUGGUCUGCAACUGACACUGAGGCGCGAAAGCGUGGGGAGCAAACAGG